rnacentral:tRNA from 1 species
GCCGGAAUAGCUCAGUCGGUAGAGCAGAGGACUGAAAAUCCUC